rnacentral:rRNA from 1 species
AUUGAACGCUGGCGGCAGGCCUAACACAUGCAAGUCGAACGAGUGGCGGACGGGUGAGUAAUGUCUGGGAAACUGCCUGAUGGAGGGGGAUAACUACUGGAAACGGUAGCUAAUACCGCAUACCAUCAGAUGGGCCCAGAUGGGAGUAGCUUGUUGGUGGGGUAACGGCUCACCAAGGCGACGAACCCUAGCUGGUCUGAGAGGAUGACCAGCCACACGGUAACUGUGCCAGGGUCCAGACGCCUACGGGGGGCAGCAGUGGGGAAUAUUGCACAAGGGGCGCAAGCCUAAGGCAGCCAUGCCGCGUGUAUGAAGAAGGCCUUCGGGUUGUAAAGUACUUUCAGCGGGGAGGCGUUACCCGCAGAAGAAGCACCGGCUAACUCCGUGCCAGCCGCCGCGGUAAUAC